CAUGGUCGCCCCGAGCUUCGCCCGUAGCCGCGCCACCCGCCUCCGGCCACGACUCCGGUGGGAUUGGGCCGCCACUGCCUUGAUCUGCAUCCUCUGCUCCGCUGCGCACCGGAUCCGGCCACCACCAAGCCUCCCGCGCCGAUCCGCCCGUUCAUCGGCAGCGAGGCGCGGCGCAAGCUUGCGGGUGGCGGCGGCCAUGGCGGGGAGGCGGUGCUGCGCUAGGGGUUCUCUGGGGUAGCGCCAUGGUUGCUCCCGUGCUCUUGGAAGUUAAAGGAGGGAGGAUGCGGGAGAGGGAGAGAGAACACAAGAGGAAUGAGAGAAACGAGGGGAGGCACGGCAGGGAGCUGUGCGGCUGGUUGCUCCGGUGAAGAGAAGAUAGGGCGUGGACGUUCGCGGGAGUGGGCAGCGGAGGCGCUGGUCGGGGAGCGCAUGGUGCUGGUUCCCAGGGGGAGAUUGGCGAGGAAGAGGACGGUCUGGUGCGCUGCUGGUGCGAGGAGGGCAGGGGAGAGGGACGGUGCUCUCUAUGUUGUGCGCUGCUGCUGCUAAUCUGAUGUGGAGCACACACAAAGGCGGAUGGCGAGGGAGCAGAUGAUUUAUCUGGGAUCUGAAUUUGGCAGGUAAAAGCUGAUCUGUUUGCUGCUGGCUGGCUUCAUGUGAUGCUAUAUUGCGUUAUGGAGAGGUACAGAGGUUACAUACAGGACCAUGAACGUUUCAACUAUUGGAUUUAUGGGUAAAAUAUUUCUUCA